UUCCUGUGUUUUUUAUACAUCACUUGACCACCAGGAGGCAACAUACAACCGGUUUCAACCUUAUUGGGACUCAUCACACAGCCCUUAAAGACUUGCUCCUCUGCUUCAAUAGUCCUGUGUCAAAACAAAAAAACCAAGCAACCUGUCAGUUGGAAUGGAACUUGCAUGUAGACUGACAGAGCUCUAAUACUUCAUCCAUAGCCCUGCUAAACCUCACCAGGCAGUCAGCCAGAAACUUAUUUUAGUUUUAUUUUAUUUUAUCUAUUUGCCAUAGGACUAUCAGUCUCCUGUAAGAUUAAUAGAUCUCUUUCCUGCUUCACACAGCACCCCUCCCAACUCACCCUGGGACUUUUUGUUUGUUUGAUUUUGAUGCAAAAGUAUAUUGAUCUCCUAGAGUAUUGGCAUUUAACCAGAAAACAUCAGCCUUCCAGAAUAUUGAUAUUCCUGUGAGAUCAACAACAAAAAAAGGCUGCUCGAGUCCAGUCUAUCUCACAGCCCAACCAAAAUGACUGUAAAAGGCAGGGACAGAUAACCAGAUGGAGACGAUCACAUCUGCAAUAGACUGAAUUUGGCAGUCUUGCCAAAUCCCUGCCCUUGGCUGCUUCAUCACUAGUCUUGUCACUAUAGCAUCAUAGGUUGUUCAUAUGGCAAGAUAUGCAUUGGGAUAAGAGGGAAAACAGCACUUUAACAGCAGGACAUCUAUAGACAACUUCAGUCUGCUUCUGCAACAGGCUGGUGAUGAGAUGGAGGCCACCUCAUGAAGAUACAUGCCUUAAAAACAGA